rnacentral:rRNA from 1 species
UACAGAGGUCUCAAGCGUUGUUCGGAUUCAUUGGGCGUAAAGGGUGCGUAGGUGGCGUCGUAAGUCAGGUGUGAAAUUUUCGGAGCUUAACUUCGAAACUGCAUUUGAUACUGCGGUGCUUGAGGACUGGAGAGGAGACUGGAAUUUACGGUGUAGCAGUGAAAUGCGUAGAGAUCAUGAGGAAGACCAGUGGCGAAGGCGGGUCUCUGGACAGUUCCUGACGCUGAGGCACGAAGGUCAGGGGAGCAAACGGG